rnacentral:rRNA from 1 species
CAGGCCUAACACAUGCAAGUCGAACGCAUCCUUCGGGGUGAGUGGCAGACGGGUGAGUAACGCGUGGGAAUCUACCUCUUGCUACGGGAUAGCUCCGGGAAACUGGAAUUAAUACCGUAUGUGCCCUUCGGGGGAAAGAUUUAUCGGCAAGGGAUGAGCCCGCGUUGGAUUAGCUAGUUGGUGGGGUAAAGGCCUACCAAGGCGACGAUCCAUAGCUGGUCUGAGAGGAUGAUCAGCCACAUUGGGACUGAGACACGGCCCAAACUCCUACGGGAGGCAGCAGUGGGGAAUAUUGGACAAUGGGCGCAAGCCUGAUCCAGCCAUGCCGCGUGAGUGAUGAAGGUCUUAGGAUUGUAAAGCUCUUUCACCGGGGACGAUAAUGACGGUACCCGGAGAAGAAGCCCCGGCUAACUUCGUGCCAGCAGCCGCGGUAAU